GUUCAGCUCUAAAAUAGACUGUAAUCAAGUACAGUGUGUAUGCAGUCCUGAGCUGAUACAAAUAAACCACCGUAUCAACUUCAGAUCUGCAGUAGCUCCAGGAAACGAAUUGAAAAUUCGAAAAUAAAAUAAAAAAGAGAAAUCAAUGGGCACAAGAACACGAACUGCAUCUGCCUCGCAUCGACGGAUCCCCGCCAGAGCCUCCAUCAGGGUUGCUUCAGGUUGGGAGAGGGCAACAUGAGGACGACGAUUACGUGGAGAUCCGCAUAUGGGGAUAUGCGGUCGACGCGUCUACUCGUGCGGCCUCACCUCGUCGAGUGCUGCCACAGGCGCGGCCGUUGGUGCUGCUGCAAGGCGGCUCCGCGGCGGAGGCGAUGGGCAAGGACCGAACUGGUCGCUGUGGGCAGCGGUAUCGUUAUCCAAUUACGGCGGGACUUGUUUACCCG
rnacentral:rRNA from 1 species